rnacentral:rRNA from 1 species
CUCUUGGCGUGCCUCAGAAACCGGGUAACUUGAGGGCAGGAGAGGGGAGUGGAAUUCCCAGUGUAGCGGUGAAAUGCGUAGAUAUUGGGAGGAACACCAGUGGCGAAGGCGGCUCUCUGGCCUAACCCUGACGCUGAGGCGCGAAAGCGUGGGGAUCAAACAGGAUUAGAUACCCUGGUAGUCCACGCCGUAAACGAUGGGUGCUAGGUGUAGGAGGUAUCGACCCCUUCUGUGCCGUAGCUAACACAAUAAGCACC